CCUACGGGCGGCUGCAGUGGGGAAUAUUGGACAAUGGGGGGAACCCUGAUCCAGCCAUGCCGCGUGUGUGAAGAAGGCCCUCGGGUUGUAAAGCACUUUCAGUGAGGAAGAACGCCUGGUGGUUAAUACCCAUCAGGAAAGACAUCACUCACAGAAGAAGCACCGGCUAACUCCGUGCCAGCAGCCGCUGUAAUACGGAGGGUGCGAGCGUUAAUCGGAAUUACUGGGCGUAAAGCGCGCGUAGGUGGCUUGAUAAGCCGGUUGUGAAAGCCCCGGGCUCAACCUGGGAACGGCAUCCGGAACUGUCAAGCUAGAGUGCAGGAGAGGAAGGUAGAAUUCCCGGUGUAGCGGUGAAAUGCGUAGAGAUCGGGAGGAAUACCAGUGGCGAAGGCGGCCUUCUGGACUGACACUGACACUGAGGUGCGAAAGCGUGGGUAGCAAACAGGAUUAGAUACCCUGGUAGUC
rnacentral:rRNA from 1 species